UACGUAGGGGGCUAGCGUUGUCCGGAAUCAUUGGGCGUAAAGGGUGCGUAGGUGGCGCCAUAAGUCAGGUGUGAAAUCUCGGGGCUCAACCCCGAAACUGCAUUUGAUACUGUGGUGCUCGAGUACUGGAGAGGAGAUUGGAAUUUACGGUGUAGCAGUGAAAUGCGUAGAUAUCGUAAGGAAGACCAGUGGCGAAGGCGAAUCUCUGGACAGUUACUGACACUGAGGCACGAAGGCCAGGGGAGCAAACGGG
rnacentral:rRNA from 1 species